AUUUUUUUUUUACUAUUGACAUGAUGAUUCUGAAAGAUAUCGCAACAAUGUGAGGAAGCUAUCAGUUGCAUGCAUGGUGAGAUUGAAUACAUUUUUGUUUUAUUUAUGUGUGAAAUUGUUACUUUUCUUUGUUUAUGUAUUCCCAGGGUAUGAGUGUGAACAGUACAAGUAUGGAUUGAGUGUCCGGAACUGUCCCUAUAACAAGUGAACCUUUAGAAACAGACCUGGACUACCUGAGUCAGAGUACUGUCGUAGCAGCAGCUCAUAGAUUCCUGAAACCUUGCCGCAGUCUGGGUAGCGAGCGACUCCAAACAGACUCUUUAGGGCUCUGAAACGGGGACUGGAGAAGUUGAGGGGAAGAGUACCCCUACUUUAAUGGAUACAUGCAACACUGAGUCACCAGGCUACUCAAGCAAUGAAUGAAGGUUAGGGAAACAUGGUAUAAAUCAAAACUAAGACUAAAAUGACACAAAAACAACAGAUACACAGCAUGACUUACUUGAACUGGCAGAAUAUGUCUGCAUACUCUGGUGAGAUGUUGGAGGCCUGGAGAAUGGUCACUCGGAACUGGAACUGGCUACCAAUGGUCAGAUGUUCUGGCAAGUCUGAAGCAUUCAUUUCUG